GGGCAAUUGGUCUAGUGGUACGAUUCUCCGUUCGGGAAUACCCUCUCAUCCAAAGAGAGGUCCUUCGGAGAGAUCCCCGGUUCGAACCCGGGAUUGCCCC